rnacentral:rRNA from 1 species
AGUGAACGCUGGCGGUAGGCCUAACACAUGCAAGUCGAACGGCAGCACAGUAAGAGCUUGCUCUUACGGGUGGCGAGUGGCGGACGGGUGAGGAAUACAUCGGAAUCUACUUUUUCGUGGGGGAGAACGUAGGGAAACUUACGCUAAUCACGCAUACGACCUACGGGUGAAAGCAGGGGAUCUUCGGAACUUGCACGAUUAAAUGAGCCGAUGUCGGAUUAGCUAGGUUGCGGGGUAAAGACCCACCAAGCCGACGAUCCGUAGCUGGUCUGAGAUGAGGAUCAGCCACACUGGAACUGAGACACGGUCCAGACUCCUCUGGGAGGCAGGAGUGGGGAAUAUUGGACAAUGGGCGCAAGCCGGGUCCAGCCAUACCGCGUGGGUGAAGAAGGCCUUCGGGUUGUAAAGCCCUUUUGUUGUGAAAGAAAAGCAGCAGGUUAAUCCCCCGCUGUUCUGACGGUACCCAACGAAUAAGCACCGGCUAACUUCGUG